rnacentral:rRNA from 1 species
UUCCGGUUGAUCCUGCCGGAAGCCAUUGCUAUCGGGAUCCGAUUUAGCCAUGCUAGUUGCACGAGUUUAGACUCGUAGCGGAAAGCUCAGUAACACGUGGUCAAACUACCCUGUGGACCAGAAUAACCUCGGGAAACUGAGGAUAAUGCUGGAUAGCGUUCUCACGCUGGAAUGCGGAGAACCACAAAGGCAUCCGCGCCACAGGAUGUGACUGCGGCCGAUUAGGUAGACGGUGGGGUAACGGCCCACCGUGCCGAUAAUCGGUACGGGUUGUGGGAGCAAGAACCCGGAGACGGAAUCUGAGACGAGAUUCCGGGCCCUACGGGGCGCAGCAGGCGCGAAACCUUUACACUGCGCGAAAGCGCGAUAAGGGGAUCCCGAGUGCGAGGGCGUAUAGUCCUCGCUUUUCUGUACCGUAAGGAGGUACAGGAAUAAGAGCUGGGCAAGACCGGUGCCAGCCGCCGCGGUAAUACCGGCAGCUCAAGUGAUGGUCGAUAUUAUUGGGCCUAAAGCGUCCGUAGCCGGCCAGACAGGUCCGUCGGGAAAUCUGCUCGCCUAACGAGCAGGCGUCCGGCGGAAACCGUCUGGCUUGGGACCGGAAGACCCGAGGGGUACGUCCGGGGUAGGAGUGAAAUCCCGUAAUCCUGGACGGACCAUCGGUGGCGAAAGCGCCUCGGGAAGACGGAUCCGACGGUCAGGGACGAAAGCUAGGGUCUCGAACCGGAUUAGAUACCCGGGUAGUCCUAGCUGUAAACGAUGCUCGCUAGGUGUGCCGCAGGCUACGAGCCUGCGCUGUGCCGUAGGGAAGCCGUGAGGCGAGCCGCCUGGGAAGUACGUCUGCAAGGAUGAAACUUAAAGGAAUUGGCGGGGGAGCACUACAACCGGAGGAGCCUGCGGUUUAAUUGGAUUCAACGCCGGA